rnacentral:rRNA from 2 species
ACAGGGAUUGCCCUAGUAACGGCGAGUGAAGCGGCAACAGCUCAGAUUUGAAAUCUAACUCUUUGAGUUCGAGUUGUAAUCUGUAGAGGAUGCUUUUGAUGCGAUGCCUUCUGAGUUCCCUGGAACGGGACGCCAUAGAGGGUGAGAGCCCCGUACGGUUGGACAUCAAAUCUUUGUAAAGCACCUUCGACGAGUCGAGUAGUUUGGGAAUGCUGCUCAAAGCGGGAGGUAAAUUUCUUCUAAAGCUAAAUAUUGGCCAGAGACCGAUAGCGCACAAGUAGAGUGAUCGAAAGAUGAAAAGCACUUUGAAAAGAGGGUUAAAAAGCACGUGAAAUUGUUGAAAGGGAAGCGUUUAUGACCAGACUUGUUUUUAGCUGAUCAUCUGGUGUUCUCACCAGUGCACUCGGUUAUAUUACAGGCCAGCAUCGGUUUUUUCAGAGACAUAAAGGUUUUAGGAACGUAGCUCUUUCGGGAGUGUUAUAGCCUACUACACAAUAUCUCUGAAGGGACCGAGGCCCGCGCAUUGCAAGGAUGCUGGCGUAAUGGUCAUCAGCGACCCGUCUUGAAACACGGACCAAGGAGUCAAGCAUUAGGGCGAGUGUUUGGGUGAAAAACCCGCACGCGAAAUGAAAGUGAACGCUGGUGAGAGCUUCGGCGCAUCAUCGACCGAUCCUGAAGUUUUCGGAUGGAUUUGAGUAAGAGCCUUAACGCUUGGACCCGAAAGAUGGUGAACUAUGCUUGUAUAGGGUGAAGCCAGAGGAAACUCUGGUGGAGGCUCGCAGCGGUUCUGACGUGCAAAUCGAUCGUCAAAUAUGAGCAUGGGGGCGAAAGACUAAUCGAAC